GCUGGGUCACCUGAAAAUGGUUCUAGUGCUCAGGCUGUGCAGCGUUAGAGCCAACCACGGUUAGUCCCGAUGAAGAGCUGUGUCAGUCGAUAUGUAGUGAGAUCGGCAGUGUCAGAUGCACACAAUCCAAACAGGGUCAGUCAACAUGCAGAGGUGGGUGACAUAUGAAGUGGGACAGUCAGUAUGUGGCGAGGUCAGUUAGAUACAGACAGGAUCAGUCAAUGCAUAAGAGCUGAACAGGAUCAGCCGAUGUGCAGAGGUGGGUGACAUACAGAGUUCAAUAUAUAUUGUGGUCAGUGAGGUCAGCCACACGUGGUUAGUCAGCACUAACAGGUGGGUGACGUACAGAGUUUGUUUGUCAGUACUUGGUUAGGUCAGUGAGAUGAUGACAGGGUCAGCCACACAAGAGCUAAACGGGGUUAGUCGACACACAGAGGUGGGUGACAAAUACAGCUGGCAAGUCAAUAUGUAAUGAGGGUGGUGUGAUAGGGCAUUGUCAGCCACACCAGUGCUAAUCAGGGUCAAUCGAUAUGCAGGCGUGUGUGACAUACAGAUUGUGACAAUUAAGAUGUGGCGUGGAGGUGGAGAUAUUGGAAGGGUUGUUUAUAACAGAGUUAAUCAAGUUCCAUUGGCACACACAGGUGGAAGACGUACAGAGUCUGGCAGUCAGUCCAUGGAGAGGUCAGUGAGAUGCUGACAAGGUCAGCCACACAAAAGCUAAACAUGGUCAGUCAACACAAAUAGGUGGGUGACAUGCAGAGUUAUUUAAGGCACAAUGUGACAAAGGUAAUUAGAUAUGGGCAGGUUCAGCCACAUCAGAGCUAAACAGGAUCAGUCAGCACAAACACGCAGGUGAAAUACAAAGUUUGUAAGUCAAUGUAUGGUUAGGUCAGUGAGAUGCUGACAGGGUCAGCCACCUCAGUGCUAGACAUGUUCAGUCACCACACUGGUGGGUAAUAAUACAGCAUCUGUCUUUCAAUACACGGUUAAGACCAUAAGAUAUCGAUAGGUUCAACAGCACAAGUGCUGAACAGGCUCAUUCAACACAAACAGGUGGGUGACAUGCAGAGUCUGUUAGUCAAAAUAUUGUUAGGUCAGUACGUUACUGACAGAGUCAGCCACAGAGGAGCUAAACAGGGUCAGUCAAUGUGCCCAGAGGUAUGCGACAUACAGAGUGUGAUAGUAAAUAGGUGGUGUUGGUCGGUGAGAUAUGGACAGGGUCAGCCCACUUUUCUAGGUGCGUGAGAUAUGGCUUGUAUCCGGCAAAAUGUAUUAAGGCAGGCGACACCCAAACCGGGUCAAUUCCGCAUGGCGGGCCACACCAAAGCAAGCCCAAGACUGGGUGAAGGCUCAGUCAGUCAGAGCAUGUGUACAGUCUGCAAAGUGGUGAGGACCUCAAUCCCUACGAGGUACAGACAACAUGACACGUCCCACCAACGCCAAACAGGGUUAGCCCCCUAGAGAAGUGACUCCGAGAGAGCGUUGCUCAGACUACAUGUAAUGAGGCUGGUGAGACACAAACUGGGAGCCAUACCAAAUCCAGGCAGAUGUGACUUAUUUUUAAAGAGUUUGCCCAUGUAAUAUAUAUAACGAGAGGUGUCAGAUAUAGAGGUGAGCGGCCACUCUGGAGCUGAUCAGGAUCAGUCCACGUGUAGAGAACGAUUAAUGAUGAAGAGCCGUCCGACCAGAAGGCACACACAUGAAGUCCAGGCCAUCGGCCGCCUUCCCAGAUUCGUGUUCAGGUGUGACUUCACGUGCAUGUGUGUGUGUGUGUGUGUGUAUUCAUAUUCACGAUAGGCAACUUAAUAGAAGAUGCAGGACCCCCUGUUGUCUCCUACUCCAUCUGUGCUUGCUGCAGAAAUAUCUUAACACCUCGCCUCCCCCUCGUCACUGACCUGCGCUCUGCUAAAGCAGAUGUCCUCCGUGAAUGUCGACCCAGUCAUCCAGCAAAUGCAGUCCUUCAGUUUUGCGCAGUGGAGAUGCCUGUUAGCCGCCGUGGGGUGAGUGCAGGGUAUGCCAGCGGCUUCUUGUGACCUUUAUUGCCAUUGAAGAUUCACACAAGUAAAUGACAGACAAGAUGGCAUGAGUCAAGGAGACCCUCCGUGGGUAGCCACUGUGGCCAUUGAGCUGACUUCUUGAUACUGGAUACAAUGUGCCAGGGUGAAGGGGAAUUUCCAUUGAAUUUUACCUGAGGCAUUGGGAUGAGGGCAUAAGCCCACCAUGUGUGUGUAUACCAGCUCCUUGUUCUAAUAUAGGUGUGCCAGCUGAGACUCAAAGUGCCCGGGCUGGGCUUAUAAUGAAGGGUCUUUACAUUUCAUCCCCACCUGAUUGUUCAUGCCACCUUUCUAUGCCGGGGGAAGAACUGACUAGGAUGCCACUUGCAAUAGCUCCUCGAGAAGCCCCUCUGUAUGGUGACAUUGAUUUGAAGUCCCCUAACAAGAGAACAAACCCAGGUGGCAAAGGUCUUCAGUGCAGCCAGACGUCACAGACAUCCUCAAGGUGGGAGAACAAUGGCACGGGCGCGCUUACUGGUCAAGGCUAUGUGGGUGCAGGACCUUCACUCCAGGAUGGUUGCCUGUGACACCGGUGACGAUUCAUUUUCAAAGGUUUACUUGUUGUGGGGAACAGCCCAG